rnacentral:rRNA from 1 species
UUUCUAGAGAUAGAAAGUUACUUCGGUACAUCGGUGACAGGUGGUGCAUGGUUGUCGUCAGCUCGUGUCGUGAGAUGUGGGUUAAGUCCCGCAACGAGCGCAACCCCUAUUGUUAGUUGCCAUCAUUCAGUUGGGCACUCUAGCGAGACUGCCGGUAAUAAACCGGAGGAAGGUGGGGAUGACGUCAAAUCAUCAUGCCCCUUAUGACCUGGGCUACACACGUGCUACAAUGGUUGGUACAACGAGUUGCGAGUCGGUGACGGCGAGCUAAUCUCUUAAAGCCAAUCUCAGUUCGGAUUGUAGGCUGCAACUCGCCUACAUGAAGUCGGAAUCGCUAGUAAUCGCGGAUCAGCACGCCGCGGUGAAUACGUUCCCGGGCCUU